rnacentral:rRNA from 1 species
CCUACGGGAGGCAGCAGUGGGGAAUUUUGGACAAUGGGCGAAAGCCUGAUCCAGCAAUGCCGCGUGAGUGAAGAAGGCCUUCGGGUUGUAAAGCUCUUUUGUCAGGGAAGAAACGGUGGGAGCUAAUAUCUCCUGCUAAUGACGGUACCUGAAGAAUAAGCACCGGCUAACUACGUGCCAGCAGCCGCGGUAAUACGUAGGGUGCAAGCGUUAAUCGGAAUUACUGGGCGUAAAGCGUGCGCAGGCGGUUUUGUAAGUCUGAUGUGAAAUCCCCGGGCUCAACCUGGGAAUUGCAUUGGAGACUGCAAGGCUAGAAUCUGGCAGAGGGGGGUAGAAUUCCACGUGUAGCAGUGAAAUGCGUAGAUAUGUGGAGGAACACCGAUGGCGAAGGCAGCCCCCUGGGUCAAGAUUGACGCUCAUGCACGAAAGCGUGGGGAGCAAACAGGAUUAGAUACCCUGGUAGUCCACGCCCUAAACGAUGUCUACUAGUUGUCGGGUCUUAAUUGACUUGGUAACGCAGCUAACGCGUGAAGUAGACCGCCUGGGGAGUACGGUCGCAAGAUUAAAACGUCAAAGGAUUGACGG